UUCCACUGCAAGGAUUUCGUCAACGAAUGUUAUCAUAGGUUACGCGCGACUCCAGAGGCAAUUUGGAAUAUCGGCACGAAAUCGUCGGAUGAAAAUCUGAGGUGCCCGACGCACAACAUUUUGAACGUGCCACGGAGGAUCAAGGCAAAAAACGAGAGCAAAAAAGGUGCACGCUGAAGGCGGAAAUGAAGCAUGAUCUGGCUUGCAUCUGGUGCAUGAAGAAAUUGCUGGCACGUUAGUUGCAGUCUACCUCCACCAACAGGGUGGAAAACAAAGGUCGCCAU